rnacentral:tRNA from 1 species
GGAUUUGUGGCUUAACUGGUAGAGUGCCUGCCUACCAUGCACGAGGCCCUGGGUUCAGUCCCUAGCACCA